AAUCUGCAAAGGCCUUGAAAUUAUCAUAAUUAACAUUAACAUAGUUUUCAGAAUACUGGGGAGUAGGUGUAUAUUUAAAACAAAAAAACACUAAAGUGCUGUACAUAGCUGUUGUGUUGGUUUUGCAAAACUGGAUAGAGCAGCCCCUGCUUUGGGAACUGAGUUUUCCUGGGAGGAGAGUUUUGUAUAACAAAGUGUGACCAAGUUCUGUGAUAUCAUUAUGAAAACCAAACAAAGCAGUUAACUUGCUUGAUGGGAGUGGGGUUGGGGGGCCUUUCAGAGAAGGCCUUGAGGAGAGGCUGAUUGUGGAAUUGGGCUUUUACAGGUGAGGAGAAUUUUGGAAAGUGAAAGGGCAUUCAGCAGAGGACACCGAAGCUUGGGAAGAUACGGUUUUAGCUGUAGAAGAGUUAUAAUGAAACUUGAGAAGCCCAGGCUAUAGGCUGGUGAAGGAGAAGAUUUUCCAAGAAUGGAAAACAGGAAGUAGUAGUGAGCAUGAAGUAGGUGACAAUAAAGAGACUAAGUCUGAGUGGUAAUUAUUCAGAAGUUGAGAAGUUGAGGUCUGGCCAGGAAAAAGGGCUGAUUUGAAUGAUAGACUGAAUUUGGAGGCUUAUGGGGGAGUUGCUAAGUUACUCAGGUAAAUGGAAAGAUGUGUUUGCCAUCCAGGACUAGGGGUGGUUCUCUGUGGUGGGUGGCAUCAGGAAAUGUGUGUGUGGUUUUGGUUAUCCCAGUGGGGGUUGGAUGGUGGUGUUGCUGUACUGCAUUUAGUGCCAAGGGCUUAGGGAUGUCAAAUGCAACGUUGAGGCAGUCUGCCACAACAAAGAAUUAUCUCACUUCAAGUGUCAGCAGUGCCCCAUUGAGAACCAUAUUGGAGGCUGAUAGAGUCAGCUGCAUUCAAGGUACUGAGUGAUGACCUGGAUUAGGGAAUAGAGCAAGAAGUAAAUUAGAUUCUCCUGGUGAAAGGAUUUGGUGGGGACUAGUAUACACUAAUAGAAACUAUUCAAGUUGAGAUGUUAGUGAAUUAUGGCACAAUAUCAGAACAUAAUUAUCGUGGUAGAUGCUCAGUGUAUUAUGAAUGUGUGUUAACUUUAUUAUGGGGAAACAUCUAACAUGUUCUAGAUAGAAUUGGCUAGUGUGGAGAACCUUCAUGUACCCAGCCUCAACAGUGAUAACUUUGGGCCAAUCUUAUUUCAUCUAUCCCCACCUCAGAUUAUUUUGAAGCAGAUUCCAGACAUAUCACUUCCAUCUGUGAAUAUUUUGGUGUAUAAAAGAUAAAGACUCUUUAUGCAUGGCUGAGUGUUUAGAUAAAAUCUACAUGGUUUGCUCUUGUUGAUACCAUUUUCUUAGAGGGGAAAGAGCAAGGAAAAAAAUACGGUUGGAUUUCAAAUGCCAGGACCUGUCUCCUGUGAUUUGCUGUUCUCUAAAAAGUUUUAGCUUUUUUUGAAAAAAAGUGGUUUUGAUUUUUUUUUUUUAAGGUUUUCCUCUUAAAUUUCUUCUUCUUCUCAAAUAUUUAUUGAGCUUUUCUGCAUCCCAGGCCCUGUCUUCUCCAUGCUUACCAGGAAGAAUCCUUAGGCAGUUUCUGUAAUGUUUAAGUGAAUGGUACCUCACUAGUUUCCUUCCACACAUGCAUGUGGGUUUCUGAGUAAUCCUCUAAAGAUAUUGCGCCCCCUAUUUCUUUCAGGCUUCUGUAUCAGCAGUUUUUUCCAUAUGGAAUGUGCCCCUUACCCCACCCCAAUCUGUCUUAACAUGUCUGGCCAUCCCCAAGGCUCUUCUAGUCGUAUGCUGUUUACGCUGAUGUCUGUUUCCCUUCCUUACUGUUUAGUCCUUAUUGUUCACUGCUUUGAUUGUGUUUUCUUACUGUUAGAGUUCUUACUAUUUAAUGCUUUGGUUAUGUUUUUUUAUAAUAGUUUUGGAUUUUUUUAAAGACUUUUAUGGUGGCAAGGAAGAAUAUUCUAUAAUUAUGUAAUUAUGCUUUUCAUCUUCCACUCAGUAAAUAUUUGUACUAUCGACUAUAUGGCCAUCAUUCUAGCUGUAUUCUGUUUGAACAGAAAUCUUUUUUUUUUUUUUUGGUCUUUUUGCUAUUUCUACCAUUAACUACCAGGAGUUGGUCAAAAGUGCGAAGAAAACAUCAAGAAAGUCAUGGAUAUUGCAUACAUAUUUAAAAGGCCACUUUCGGCUCUGUAGGAAAUCUGCCGUUUGACUUCAUGUGAGAGAACCUUAAGAUGUAAAAAACAAAACAGAUGUUUUACUCUUUAGGCCAAGGUAAUGGAGCUAAUUCUUUUUUUUNNNNNNNNNNNNNNNNNNNNNNNNNNNNNNNNNNNNNNNNNNNNNNNNNNNNAGUGCUAUUUUCAACUUCAAAGAGUCCUUUUUAAAAUUAUUUUCUAUGAACUCGUGAUAAAGAUUGUCAGGCAAACUUAAAAGUAUUGUUUUUCCAUUUUCAAUAAAUAGAUCUAAUUGCCAGUCAUUGCUGACAUCCAGUUGUUAUGUUCACACCUGAAAACAAAGCAGCUCAUUUUAAUAACCUGUGCAGUCUUAUUGGGAGCUAGUGUAGGACUUCUUUUAAUCCUUUUGAAAUAUUGGCAUAACUUGGCAACUCCAUUAUACCUUUUGAGGACUUCCUGGCAUCUGGGAAUUCUUGGUAGGGAAUCACAGUUUUAUAAUGAAAAAUAUCCUCCCCCCCCGCUCCCCAAGCAAAUUAGCUGGUAAACAAAACCUCAUCGUACUUUAUUAUUUGUGUAGCAUAAGUCAUUAUUUUUUCUGCAUGAGUGGUAAUUUGCCAGACUAUUUGUGGUGGAACAUUUUUUUGUUUAACUGAUUAAAUUUCUAUUCAUCCUUGCCCAAAAGGCCUCCCCCCUCCCACCCUAACAGCAAGAUACUAAAUUAAAAAUGUAAAGAGUUCUGAAUUAAGGAGACAAAAAAAAGAUCUAAGUCUUUUCUUAGUAGUUGGGCCCUUAAGCAAAUUACUACUUUUACUGUGCUUUUCUAUAAAAUAGGUAAUACUUUUUGUCGCACAUGAGAGCCUGUAUAGGAAAGCUCUUUAGCAGUGAUAAUGUUCUCUAUGAUAUGAAAGUGAUAGUGUUAUUAGUGGCCGAAUAACACUUUUUGAGGAUAGGAUGCUUUUUUAAUAACUUUUCAUGGGAAUUAAACCCAUGCUGUUAAUUUCUUAAUUUUUCGUGUUUCUAGUCUUUACGCUGAUAAAAAGUAGCCCAGACAAGGUUAUACAAAGGAAAUAAUGAACAAAACUUGACUAAAGAGCCCAAGACCUUUUCUUUGGUCUCUUCUCCUGGGAUGGUUAUUUUUCCAAACUGAACUCUUGGAGAAUCUUUUAGAAGUAUUAGAGCUGUCAGUUAAUAAGCACAGAACUGGUACUCUCAAUCCAGAGGAACCAUUGUUGCCAUUCAUUUGACCAGUUUAUGAUAUAGAGUCAUAUUCUUAGUCAUUAUUCGCUCCUCCUUAAUCUCCAUUUUUAUGCCCUUCCUUGAAAAGAACAGAUAUGUGAAGAGGAGGCUUAGGUUUCUGUUUUGUGAAUGUGUAUUGUUUAGUAACUUGAUUUUUGUUUUGUUGUUAAACUUCCUUAGACCUGGAAAGGAUAGUAUUAGGUAAACAUUAGCUAGUUGAGUGGUGCCAAAUGUAAAGCCUUACUGGAGAGCCAGAGUGGUAAAGCAGAGGUCCCUUUUUUCCCAAGGCCAGUGUAAUGGUGUUCUGUGUUCUCUUGCAAAAGAUCAUUCUGAAAGACAAAGCAGACUCAGAACCUAGGAAACCAGUGGUUUUUGCAGAUUAGAUGGUUUGAAUCCUCUUCAGCACUUUUGUUUUUUCUGCCUCAGUUCAUUAGAAUGAUGUUUUGAUUAGCUGUAAUUUGCUACUUGGAACAAAUAAAGUUUUUUCAGAUCACAGGAGUAUGUAUGCAUUUUUCCUUUACCAAAUGUUAGUGUUUUUACUCUGCUUCUGUGGGCUCUGGUCAUGUUAGAUACUUAGCUGUAUGUUGUUUUCUUUUACCAAAAUCCUUGGAGAUGGCUAUGUCAUCCUUGGAGAUGGCUAUACCAGAAACUGAGCAUUCUGGCAGGCAGUUUUGCUGGCUGAUGCUUGAUAAAGAGCCACAUAUCAGUCUUUUGGUGGAUUUAUGUAGAAAAUAAAGUUAUUUCUGAACAAGACAGAAAUUCCUCAAGCAAUGACAAGCAAAGAGGUUACUUUGAUUAACCUUGAGUUAUGUUGCCUCAGAUUAGGACAACACAACAUCACAUGUUGGCAGUGACAGUGGUGGUGCUGGCCUACACCACAGCCACAGCAGCUCAGAAUCUGAGCUGCAUCUGUGACUUACACCACAGCUUACAGCAAUGCCGGAUCCUUAACCCACUGAGCGAGGCCAGGGAUGGAACCCACUUCCUCUUGGAUGCUAGUCAUGUUCGUUAUUGCUGAGCCACAAUGGAAACUCCGGUAGGCUGUCUGUUAAAUAUUACAUUGAACAAGCCUUGAACAUGAUGUAGAAUUUGUGCUGAGGGUUUAGUUUCCAGAAGUGGUGGUAGUGGAUAUUUUAUAAUGUGGAAAACAAGACAUUCUUAUUUUAGAAAUCUGGAAACCAGAUGUU
ensembl:lncRNA